rnacentral:rRNA from 1 species
AUACGGAGGGUGCGAGCGUUAAUCGGAAUUACUGGGCGUAAAGCGCGCGUAGGCGGCCUGGUCAGUCGGAUGUGAAAGCCCUGGGCUCAACCUGGGAAUGGCAUUCGAUACUGCAUAACUAGAGUAUGGUAGAGGGAAGUGGAAUUUCCGGUGUAGCGGUGAAAUGCGUAGAUAUCGGAAGGAACACCAGUGGCGAAGGCGACUUCCUGGGCCAAUACUGACGCUGAGGUGCGAAAGCGUGGGGAGCAAACAGGAUUAGAAACCCCAGUAGUCC